ensembl:snRNA U6 U6 spliceosomal RNA
GUGCUUACUUUGGCAGCACAUAUACUAAUAAUAUAAUAGUAUGGAGAUUAGCAAUGUCCUCUCUGCAAGGAUAACAUGGAAAUUUGUGAAGUAGUCAUAUUUUUA